rnacentral:rRNA from 1 species
GCAACGCGAAAACCUUACCUACCUUGACAUGGUCGGAAUCCUGAAAGAGAUUCGGGAGUGCUCGAAAGAGAACCGGCGCACAGGUGCUGCAUUGGCUGUCGUCAGCUCGUGUCGUGAGAUGUUGGGUUAAGUCCCGCAACGAGCGCAACCCUUGUCCUUAGUUGCUACGCAAGAGCACUCUAAAGGAGACUGCCGGUGACAAACCGGAGGAAGGUGGGGAUGACGUCAAGUCCUCAUGGCCCUUAUGGGUAGGGCUUCACACGUCAUACAAUGGUCGGAACAGAGGGUUGCCAACCCGCGAGGGGGAGCUAAUCCCAGAAAACCGAUCGUAGUCCGGAUUGCACUCUGCAACUCGAGUGCAUGAAGCUGGAAUCGCUAGUAAUCGCGGAUCGGCAUGCCGCGGUGGAUACGUUCCCGGGUCUU